CUAAAAAACAGCACUGAAAACAAGAUGAAAUUAUAAUCAUAGAAUCGAUUGAGUUGGAAGGGACCCUUAAGGGCUAUUUGGUCCAAUUCCCCUGCAGUGAACAGGGACAUCCAGAACCAGAUCAGGUUCUCAGAACCCUUUCCAGCCUGACCUUGAAUGUCUCCAGGGACAGGACAUCAACCACCUCUCUGUACAGACAUUACAACACUGAAGAGGAUUUGAGACAACCAUAUGGGCUCUAUGGCCAAGUCAUGCUCCUCUAGAGACUGUGGAAGAGCACCUCAGCAGACACUGCAAAGCCAUGAAGAUUAUUUGAGUCAUUCUGGAUUUGCUGUGGGACAAAAAACACAGGAUGUGGCCAGAUCCAGCAAACAUACUUUUCAAUCAGAUUUACAUAAAAUCCACUCCUUCACCCACCAGACACACAUACAAAAAAAACAAAAUAAUAAUCAUAUCAAAACAGAACUGAUUGUGAAACCUCCUUUUGUCCUGUGAGAAUUUCAGAUUUCAGAAGUUUUACCAUCAAAACUUGAUAAUUCUUGCAGGCCAGUAAUCCAUGAAGAAUUCACCAUAGGUCUUUUGAGAUAUUUUUCAUGCUUUAGGUCCUUUUAAUAAUGGAAAUAAUAA
rnacentral:lncRNA from 1 species